UACGUAGGUGGCGAGCGUUAUCCGGAUUUACUGGGUGUAAAGGGCGCGUAGGCGGAUCAGCAAGUCAGAUGUGAAAUCCAUGGGCUUAACUCAUGAACUGCAUUUGAAACUGUUGAUCUUGAGUGCUGGAGAGGUAGACGGAAUUCCUAGUGUAGCGGUGAAAUGCGUAGAUAUUAGGAAGAACACCGGCGGCGAAGGCGGUCUACUGGACAGUAACUGACGCUGAGGCGCGAAAGCGUGGGGAG
rnacentral:rRNA from 1 species